GUUAACAUCGAUUUUCUUUAUAAAACCAAUGUUGGGUUAUAGAUAAAUUAAAACCCAGAAGGUUCUCCCCUCGCACGCUAUCUCAGUCUCAGAAACAAAAGUAUCUUUCUCCUUCACCGCGAAGACCUGUCACUGUGGUCUCCUCCACACCAUCGUCGUAGCUGGGGUUCGUGAUCGCCGUCGGGGUUCGUGACCACUGCGGUCUGUUGGAAUUUGACUUCAACAUUCAACAUUAACACUAACACUGCAGUUUCUGUCAGAUUUAGUUGCAAGGCGUAGGGAGUACCUCUACCUUGGUGGUUUGCUUUCUUCUGGGCUGUCCAUUCAUCAAUUGCACUCUUCAAGUUUGAGGUAAUUGGCAAUGCUGUUCUAUUCUUUUAGUGUGACCGGUAAGCUAUAUUAUUAAUAGAAACAUCAUGUAUUAGAUAUAUUCUAUUCUGGAUAAUAAGCAAGUAAAUCCUAAUGUUGAAUGAUCCCUUGGUCCAAAUGACUACAUAAAUCAAUAUGAAUUAGAGCAAUAUACUACUGACAUAGUACAUAAACAAGUCAUAUCAAAGAUUUGGGCAAGUAUGCGAGCGAGGAAUUCUGAUAUGUAUGGAUUCCUCGAGCCACAGUCCAUUUAGAGAUCUGGGCAAUCACAAUUUGAAUUGGAAAGUUACAUCAAGAGUUGGAUGCAGAGUUCAAAACGCGGUGUCUACCUUGGAGUCUACCUGAAUGGCUAACACUGACAAAUGGUCGUCAACAGUGCUUCGAAAGGACUUGAUGAUACUCUACAACCUAAAUCCAAGGCUGCUGCUAGGUGGAUUAUUGUUAAGUGUAAUAGACAAAAAGGAAGCAUUGAGUGUGGCUAUUACGUCAUGCACUAGAUGUCCAUGAUAAUCUCAGGAACUUUCAGGAAUAAUUGGGAAAUGUAUUUUAAUGAUGUUAGACCAUUGGAAGCAGAGAGAUUCAAGGCGCUUCGCAUCCAGUGGGCA